CAAUAGCGUAUAUUAAAGUUGUUGCAGUUAAAAAGCUCGUAGUUGGAUUUCUGCCAGGGUGCCAAUGUCCGCCGAAGUGCGUGCGCAGCGGCGCCCUCGCAUCCUUCUGUUAACGCCUCUCGGCAUUUACUUGCCGGUGGUGGGCUCAGAUAAUUUACCUUGAGAAAAUUAGAGUGUUUCAGGCAGGCUAGGCCGGAAUACAUUAGCAUGGAAUAAUGGAAUAGGACUACGGUCUCGUUGUUGGUUUGAGGGACUGGAGUAAUGAUUAAUAGGGAUAGUUGGGGGCAUUAGUAUUUAAUUGUCAGAGGUGAAAUUCUUGGAUUAUCGGAAGAUGAACUUCUGCGAAAGCAUCUGCCAAGGAUGUUUUCAUUGAUCAAGAACGAAAGUUAGGGGAUCGAAGACGAUCAGAUACCGU
rnacentral:rRNA from 1 species